rnacentral:rRNA from 1 species
CCUACGUGUGGCAGCAGUGGGGAAUAUUGCACAAUGGGGGAAACCCUGAUGCAGCGACGCCGCGUGAGUGAAGAAGGAUUUCGGUAUGUAAAGUUCUAUCAGCAGGGAAGAAAAUGACGGUGCCUGAUUAAGAAGCCGCGGCGAACUACGUGCCAGCAGCCGCGGUAAUACGUAGGGGGAAAGCGUUAUUCGGAUUUACUGGGUGUAAAGGGAGAGUAGACGGCAGCACAAGUCUGGAGUGAAAUGCCGGGGCUGAACCCCGGCACUGCUGUGGAAACUGUGCAGCUAGAGUGCAGGAGAGGUAAGUGGAAUUGCUAGUGUAGCGGUGAAAUGCGUAGAUAUUAGGAGGAACACCAGUGGCAAAGGCGGCUUACUGGACUGUAACUGACGUUGAGGCUCGAAAGCGUGGGGAGCAAACAGGAUUAGAUACCCUUGUAGUC